rnacentral:misc_RNA from 1 species
AUUCUUCAACCCACCUCUUUCUUAGUGAAUCAGGCGGUGUUUGGAUUCUGAGCGCUGCUGGCUUCGCGGCCUAGCUCGCUCGUAAUGCAUUAGCAUCCGCAAUCGAACUUCGGAUUGACUCGGCGUAAUAGACUAUUCGCUGAGGAUUCUGGUCUCUGACUGGAGCCGGGUAAGGUUAAAGGGAGCUACUAAUCCUCAUGUCUAUCUUGAGAU